rnacentral:snRNA from 1 species
UUGCUUCAGCAGCAUAUAUGCUAACAUAGGAACAAAACAGAGACGAUCAGCAUAGCCCUGCACAAUGACCUGCAAAUUUGUGGGGGAAAAAAAGGGGGG